GGGACGAACGCUGGCGGCGUGCUUAACACAUGCAAGUCGAGCGGAAAGGCCCUUCGGGGUACUCGAGCGGCGAACGGGUGAGUAACACGUGAGUAACCUGCCCUGGACUUUGGGAUAACCCUCGGAAACGGGGGCUAAUACCGGAUAUGACUUGGCCUCGCAUGGGGUUGGGUGGAAAGUUUUUCGGUCUGGGAUGGGCUCGCGGCCUAUCAGCUUGUUGGUGGGGUGAUGGCCUACCAAGGCGACGACGGGUAGCC
rnacentral:rRNA from 1 species